ACAUACGACCAUAGCCGCUAGCAAAGCUCAGGAUCCCGUCCGAUCUCCCACGACAACCUAGUGAGCGCUGGAUUAGUAGCUAGGUCGGUGACGCCUAGCGAAUACCCAGUGUUGUAUGUU
rnacentral:rRNA from 1 species